AAAUGGAGUUUUUCAUCCCUUCCUUCCAAUUCUCCUUCCAGCCUUUCUUGAUUUCCAGAAUGAGAAAUCAUUAAGUCAUAUACUGAGCCACAAAUAACAUUAUAAAUGUGACAAUUACAUGAUAAUCUUUGGGGGGAAAACAUUCUGUGAUUUCUAACAUAUUUACAUUAAAAUCACAGCUAUUUGAAAUUCGAAGUCCACUUCUGAACACCCUUGGAUCUGGGAGCAAAUUGGCACUGCAUGUGUGCCUGGGCUCCUGAAGGGCCUCACAUACAUGGGGAAGGGCAGAGAAAGAGAAACAACAACAUCCACUACCUCUAUUUUUAAAGUCAGCCUUACUACAAAAUACAGAAAGUAUUCUUCACUGGGCAGACCAAAUCAACUUUGCUCAAUCUUCGCCUUUGGGUUCCUUUAGGU
rnacentral:lncRNA from 1 species